CCACAGCCUAUUAAGUGGAACAAGGUCCUUCCCUCACAAGUGCCUGUGCACAAUGGUGGCAAACAGCCAUCUUCUUGGUAGUGCAUGCAGCCUGUUGCUUGUAGGGGUUGCACUAAAGGCCUUGGAAACACAA